UCCCCGUUAUCCGGGGCGGUUUCGCUAGAGUGCCCGGCUUGACCCGAUGGCAACUAACGAUAAGGGUUGCGCUCGUUGCGGGACUUAACCCAACAUCUCACGACACGAGCUGACGACAGCCAUGCAGCACCUCCACAGCAGUUCUUGCGAAAAGGGAUAUUUCUACCCCGGUCCACUGUGCUUCGAGCCCAGGUAAGGUUCUUCGCGUUGCGUCGAAUUGAACCACAUGCUCCACCGCUUGUGCGGGCCCCCGUCAAUUCCUUUGAGUUUCAACCUUGCGGUCGUACUUCCCAGGAGAACGGGGAGGAAGGUGGGGAUGACGUGUAACCGAAUCU
rnacentral:misc_RNA from 1 species